rnacentral:rRNA from 1 species
AACGGUGAAGCUCCAAGCUUGCUUGGGGUGGAUCAGUGGCGAACGGGUGAGUAACACGUGAGCAACCUGCCCCAGACUCUGGAAUAAGCGCUGGAAACGGCGUCUAAUACUGGAUAUGAGAUCAACCCGCAUGGGUAUGGUCUGGAAAGUUUUUCGGUUUGGGAUGGGCUCGCGGCCUAUCAGCUUGUUGGUGAGGUAAUGGCUCACCAAGGCGACGACGGGUAGCCGGCCUGAGAGGGCGACCGGCCACACUGGGACUGAGACACGGCCCAGACUCCUACGGGAGGCAGCAGUGGGGAAUAUUGCACAAUGGGCGAAAGCCUGAUGCAGCGACGCCGCGUGAGGGAUGACGGCCUUCGGGUUGUAAACCUCUUUCAGCAGGGAAGAAGCGCAAGUGACGGUACCUGCAGAAGAAGCACCGGCUAACUACGUGCCAGCAGCCGCGGUAAUACGUAGGGUGCGAGCGUUGUCCGGAAUUAUUGGGCGUAAAGGGCUUGUAGGCGGUUUGUCGCGUCUGCUGUGAAAAUCCGAGGCUCAACCUCGGACUUGCAGUGGGUACGGGCAGACUAGAGUGUGGUAGGGGAGACUGGAAUUCCUGGUGUAGCGGUGAAAUGCGCAGAUAUCAGGAGGAACACCGAUGGCGAANGCAGGUCUCUGGGCCACUACUGACGCUGAGAAGCGAAAGCAUGGGGAGCGAACAGGAUUAGAUACCCUGGUAGUCCAUGCCGUAAACGUUGGGCGC